CACUGUGCUGCAUACAAUUACACACUACGUCAUAGGAUUGAGACAAGGAAACUUGGAAUGACUUUUCAUAGGUUUCCCAGAGACUAUGGGUUGAGGAGGAAGUGGAAGUUUGUCAGCUUAGACCUGGUGUCAUUCCAUCAGUGUUAAACUUCCCGGCUCAUCUUGGAAGAGUACGUGCCAGAAAGACCACGACCAAGCAGCCUUGAGAUCUUAGGCAGCGUCUCCCUGAGGUCCCUCUCUAUCUCCCCACACAUCCACCAACCACUGGAACACAUCUCCAAAGUUCUGCUGGGCCAGCUCAGCUUCCCCUCAGAAGAAGUGCAGCCACCUGCCAGAUGAAGGAGCCUUUUGAGAGGCAGCUGGCAUCGUGAUUGGACUGUACUUUGGUCUGUUCCAAUCCAGCUUCAGCUCCAGAGACGGCAGGCGGGACGAGUCAACGGAGGCCUGGUGGACGAAGGCAUGCAGCUGAGUACAAUCUAGAAAACAACAGAGGAGGAGUGCAGGGCCAGAACAAGCAGAGUAGCAUGACCAAAGAACUACAGACUCUUCACAACCUGCUCAAACUCUUGGUACAGGACCUCACCACACGGGUCAAGAAGGUUUCUGUCUCAUUUCUACUCUGAAGCUCACCUUCUCCUGCUCAAACUGCUGACAAAUGUUUCUGCUGCUCUAAAGUCUGGUCUCCAGAACUUCCUAAAAACUCUCAAAGUCUCUUCUGCUGCAGGUUGCUUUGUAGAACUGUUUCAGAAAACCUCACUGAACCACAUGGAGGG